CCGGGCGCCGUGCGCUCCUCCCCGCGCUGUCCCGGCGGCCCAGGAAUUCACUGUCUGUAGCAUCUGCUCCUCCACAGAGGUACCCUGGAAUGGCGAUGGCACUCCCGAUGCCUGGACCUCAGGCUUUCUUGUUGCCAAACCAGCGCUGAUCUCCCUAUUGGAGCAAGGAGAGGAGCCGGGGGCCUUGAUUCUGCAGGUGGCUGAACAGAGCGUGGCCAAAGCCAGCCUGUGCACAGAGGACCCUAAUACACUGCUCAGCAGAAGCCAGGAAGGAAGCCCUGCCAGCUCAGAAGGUGUGCCAGGAGAGAAGGGUGUGGCCGGAAGGGUAGCCGGUGGGGGUGCUGCAUCCUCUUGGCCCCACUGGGAGCACCUUGUCACCCCUAACAGAUGAAGAGAAGGGUUUCUGGUGUCUCCAGAUUUUUCAGGCGCCACCAUGUUCCUCUCAUCCAGACGUCGGCACCCAAGGUGGAAGCAGGUCAUGGCAUGCCCGGCCCAGCUGCAGUCCGAGUGCAGAUCCCAUGGCGAGCGUGGGAUCCAGCCCAAAGCACAAGCCACGCACAGCCCGCUAGGUUGAGUGGGUAGGUACCUCCAACAGCCUGGAGCCGUGAGGCCUUGGGCAGGGGCGUUGCCGGCCGUGGAGGUCUCUGGCUGGCAAAGCGGCACCGAAAGAGUCCUGUGUCAUAAC
rnacentral:sRNA from 1 species